rnacentral:rRNA from 1 species
GACGGAGGAUGCAAGUGUUAUCCGGAAUCACUGGGCGUAAAGCGUCUGUAGGUGGUUUAAUAAGUCAACUGUUAAAUCUUGAGGCGCAACCUCAAAAUCGCAGUCGAAACUAUUAGGCUAGAGUAUAGUAGGGGUAAAGGGAAUUUCCAGUGGAGCGGUGAAAUGCGUAGAGAUUGGAAAGAACACCGAUGGCGAAGGCACUUUACUGGGCUAUUACUAACACUCAGAGACGAAAGCUAGGGUAGCAAAUGGG